GACUAAAUCCUGGACCCUUAGCCACCGGUCCCUCAGUGACUAGCGGAGGUAAACCGCAGGUUGUGCCCUUAUUGGAUCACAGGUUCCCACCCGAUCUAAACUCCUGGCCUCAAGAGAGUUUUCUUCCAUAGUGAUUCAAACCCAUCUUUAGUUGCAUGGAAAAGUGUCCACUUGCUCUGCACACCAUUUCGUUCAACCUACACACUAAUUUGAUAUAAAGGGUUAACUCAUCGAGUUACUAUUAUAAUAAAUU
rnacentral:lncRNA from 1 species